rnacentral:rRNA from 1 species
GAUGAACGCUAGCGGCAGGCUUAACACAUGCAAGUCGAGGGGCAGCAUAAUGGAUAGCAAUAUCUAUGGUGGCGACCGGCGCACGGGUGCGUAACGCGUAUGCAACCUACCUUUAACAGGGGGAUAACACUGAGAAAUUGGUACUAAUACCCCAUAAUAUCAUAGAAGGCAUCUUUUAUGGUUGAAAAUUCCGAUGGUUAGAGAUGGGCAUGCGUUGUAUUAGCUAGUUGGUGGGGUAACGGCUCACCAAGGCGACGAUACAUAGGGGGACUGAGAGGUUAACCCCCCAGACUGGUACUGAGACACGGACCAGACUCCUACGGGAGGCAGCAGUAAGGAAUAUUGGUCAAUGGACGCAAGUCUGAACCAGCCAUGCCGCGUGCAGGAUGACGGCUCUAUGAGUUGUAAACUGCUUUUGAACGAGGGUAAACGCAGAUACGUGUAUCUGUCUGAAAGUAUCGUACGAAUAAGGAUCGGCUAACUCCGUG